CACGUAGGGUGCGAGCGUUGUCCGGAAUUAUUGGGCGUAAAGAGCUCGUAGGCGGUGUGUCGCGUCGGCCGUGAAAACUGUGGCUUAACUAUGGGCUUGCGGUCGAUACGGGCAUCACUGGAGUUCGGCAGGGGAGACUGGAAUUCCUGGUGUAGCGGUGAAAUGCGCAGAUAUCAGGAGGGAACACCCGGUGGCGAAGGCGGGUCUCUGGGCC
rnacentral:rRNA from 1 species